rnacentral:rRNA from 1 species
UACGUAGGGUGCAAGCGUUGUCCGGAAUUAUUGGGCGUAAAGAGCUUGUAGCGGUUUGUCGCGUCUGCUGUGAAAAUCCGGGGCUCACCCGGACUUGCAGUGGGUACGGGCAGACUAGAGUGUGGUAGGGGAGGACUGGAAUUCCUGGUGUAGCGGUGGAAUGCGCAGAUAUCAGGAGGAACACCGAGUGGCGAAGGCAGGUCUCUGGGCCACUACUGACGCUGAGAAGCGAAAGCAUGGGGAGCGAACAGG